rnacentral:rRNA from 1 species
UACAGAGGUGGCAAGCGUUGUUCGGAAUUACUGGGCGUAAAGGGCGUGUAGGCGGUCUUCUAAGUCAGACGUGAAAUCCCCCGGCUUAACCUGGGAACUGCCUUUGAUACUGGCGAUCUUGAGUCCGGGAGAGGUGAGUGGAACUGCGAGUGUAGAGGUGAAAUUCGUAGAUAUUCGCAAGAACACCAGUGGCGAAGGCGGCUCACUGGCCCGGUACUGACGCUGAGGUGCGAAAGCGUGGGGAGCAAACAGG